GGGCUCACUUCAGCAGCACAUGUACUAAAAUUGGAAAGCUACAGAGAAGGUUGGCAUGUUCCGAGCACAAGGAUGACAUGCAAAUUUGUAAAGCGUUUCAUGCUUUC
ensembl:snRNA U6 U6 spliceosomal RNA